AUUGAACGCUGGCGGCAUGCCUUACACAUGCAAGUCGAACGGCAGCACGGGUGCUUGCACCUGGUGGCGAGUGGCGAACGGGUGAGUAAUACAUCGGAACAUGUCCUGUAGUGGGGGAUAGCCCGGCGAAAGCCGGAUUAAUACCGCAUACGAUCUACGGAUGAAAGCGGGGGACCUUCGGGCCUCGCGCUAUCGGGUUGGCCGAUGGCUGAUUAGCUAGUUGGUGGGGUAAAGGCCUACCAAGGCGACGAUCAGUAGCUGGUCUGAGAGGACGACCAGCCACACUGGAACUGAGACACGGCCCAGACUCCUACGGGAGGCAGCAGUGGGGAAUAUUGGACAAUGGGCGAAAGCCUGAUCCAGCAAUGCCGCGUGUGUGAAGAAGGCCUUCGGGUUGUAAAGCACUUUUGUCCGGAAAGAAAUCCUUGGCCCUAAUACGGUCGGGGGAUGACGGUACCGGAAGAAUAAGCACCGGCUAACUACGUG
rnacentral:rRNA from 1 species